AGACGUCUACAUUAGACUACCCCCGUAGUCCCAGCCGUAAACUAUGCUCGCUAGGUGUCAGGCAUGGCGCGACCGUGUCUGGUGCCGCAGGGAAGCCGUGAAGCGAGCCACCUGGGAAGUACGGCCGCAAGGCUGAAACUUAAAGGAGUUGGCGGGGGAGCACAACAACGGGUGGAGCCUGCGGUUUAAUUGGACUCAACGCCGGACAACUCACCGGGGACGACAGCAAUAUGUAGGCCAGGCUGAAGACCUUGCCUGAAUCGCUG
rnacentral:rRNA from 1 species